CCUACGGGAGGCAGCAGUGAGGAAUAUUGGUCAAUGGACGCAACUCUGAACCAGCCAAGUAGCGUGCAGGAUGACGGCCCUAUGGGUUGUAAACUGCUUUUAUGCGGGGAUAAAAUGAGCCACGUGUGGCUUAUUGCAGGUACCAUAUGAAUAAGGACCGGCUAAUUCCGUGCCAGCAGCCGCGGUAAUACGGAAGGUCCGGGCGUUAUCCGGAUUUAUUGGGUUUAAAGGGAGCGUAGGCGGAUUGUUAAGCGAGUUGUGAAAUUCCGCGGCUCAACCGUAGAAUUGCAGUGGCAACUGGCAGUCUUGAGUACACCAGAGGUAGGCGGAAUUCGUGGUGUAGCGGUGAAAUGCUUAGAUAUCACGAAGAACUCCGAUUGCGAAGGCAGCUUACUGUAGUGCUACUGACGCUGAGGCUCGAAGGUGCGGGUAUCAAACAGGAUUAGAUACCCGUGUAGUC
rnacentral:rRNA from 1 species